rnacentral:rRNA from 1 species
UGCGUAGGCGGAAUGAUAUGUUAGUGGUGAAAGCCCCCGGCUCAACCGGGGAACUGCCAUUAAUACUGUCAUUCUUGAGUAUAGUUGAAGUGGGCGGAAUGUAUCAUGUAGCGGUGAAAUGCUUAGAUAUGAUACAGAACACCGAUAGCGUAGGCAGCUUGCUAAACUAUAACUGACGCUCAGGCACGAAAGCGUGGGGAGCAAACAGGAUUAGAUACCCUGGGUAGUCC